rnacentral:rRNA from 1 species
ACCUGAUGCAGCGACGCCGCGUGAGCGAAGAAGUAUUUCGGUAUGUAAAGCUCUAUCAGCAGGGAAGAAAAUGACGGUACCUGACUAAGAAGCACCGGCUAAAUACGUGCCAGCAGCCGCGGUAAUACGUAUGGUGCAAGCGUUAUCCGGAUUUACUGGGUGUAAAGGGAGCGUAGACGGUUGGGUAAGUCUGAUGUGAAAGCCCGGGGCUCAACCCCGGGACUGCAUUGGAAACUAUGUAACUAGAGUGCCGGAGAGGUAAGCGGAAUUCCUAGUGUAGCGGUGAAAUGCGUAUAUAUUAGGAGGAACACCAGUGGCGAAGGCGGCUUACUGGACGAUCACUGACGUUGAGGCUCGAAAGCGUGGGGAGCAAACAGGAUUAGAUACCCUGGUAGUCCACGCCGUAAACGAUGACUACUAGGUGUCGGGGAGCAAAGCUCUUCGGUGCCGCAGCAAACGCAAUAAGUAGUCCACCUGGGGAGUACGUUCGCAAGAAUGAAACUCAAAGA